rnacentral:rRNA from 1 species
CUACGGGGAGGCAGCAGUAGGGAAUCUUCCACAAUGGACGCAAGUCUGAUGGAGCAACGCCGCGUGAGUGAUGAAGGUUUUCGGAUCUUAAAGCUCUGUUGUUGGUGAAGAAGGAGUAGGUAGUAACUGGGCUUAUUUGACGGUAAUCAACCAAAAGUCACGGCUAACUACGUGCCAGCAGCCGCGGUAAUACGUAGGUGGCAAGCGUUGUCCGGAUUUAUUGGGCGUAAAGCGAGCGCAGGCGGAAGAAUAAGUCUGAUGUGAAACCCUCGGCUUAACCGAGGAACUGCAUCGGAAACUGUUUUUCUUGAGUGCGAAGAGGAGAGUGGAAUUCCAUGUGUAGCGGUGGAAUGCGUAGAUAUAUGGAAGAACACCAGUGGCGAAGGCGACUCCUGGUCUGCAACUGACGCUGAGGCUCGAAAGCAUGGGGAGCGAACAGGAUUAGAUACCCUGGGUAGU